CUUUCCCCUCCAUCCUUGGUCAGCAUCUGUCGGACAUGCUAACGCUCAUGUUUUUAAUUUAUGUUUUUUUUUAAUGAUAAAGAAUACAAAUUGAAAUGAAAGACAAGUCACGCGGAAAAAAAGACAGGAAGCCCAACUCCAAUAUUUAGAACUCUAGGAACGCCUGGUAAAAGUAAUAUUUUGGGAUUUUCAAAAUGGACUUCAAGUCUGAGUUUGCACGGUUAGAGCCUUCAUUGAGAACAAGAAUCAAACGAGUUGGCAUCAUAUCAGGGGUCUGGAGUACCUUUAUUUUUGGAAGUGCUGCAGUGUUCUAUUUUUCCAAGCCGUACCUGGACAAGCGUCGCAAGGAGAGAGAAGGUUUGUUCGAGGAUACGGAAAACACCAACAGAGCGAUGAAGACGUAACGAACCAGACAUGAACUUUCGUCCCGUCCCGUGAGACUGUGAAAUUAAUCAAGGGGAUUUUGAACCGAAACAAGAAGCAAAGUCUAAAGACAUUACUUGCGGCACCAAACAGUGAAUCAGUAUUGGACAUGGAAUAGGUGCGAAGGUUAAUGGAAAAGUUAAAAGUUUUUCAACAUAGCUAGCGUCGCAGAAUUAUAAACAGGGAUUCUAGGGAGCUAAAAAAACUUUCUAAGACGAAAAUAAUUCAAGGACCUAAAACGGUCUUAAAAGAUUUAUUGCUUUUACUAAUAAUUCUAACAGUUUCUGGAUAUGCGACUUAAAUUAUAUCCGACCAUCUGGUGUAGUUAAAUCCUUUGUUUCACUUUAGAUGAAUUAGGUUUCAAUUUAUCAUUAUUAUUGCCUGUGAUUAUUUCUUUCCUCUUAAUUCUUAUGCCAUAAAAAUGCUUAACAAUUCGACGAAAACAAAUGACCAAAGUGUUACUAUGGUAACCAAACGACUAAAUGCAAAAAAUGUCGAUUUCAAUAAUACUAGAAUUUUUUAAAUAUCGUCUUACUUCUCCCGGUUGUUUGUCGCGUGUAAUAAGAUCUCAGAAAGAAACUUUAGAUUAAGCUCUUUUUUUCUCAGUCAUUCUAGUUAGUCUUUAAAAUGAAGUCAUGUUAACGUGUUAUUGUGCUUAGCCAAAACAUAUGUGAUAUGUGUCUCCUAAAAGUCCUAAAAAAGUCAAAACCUUC